GCCAGUGUGACAUAGUGGUUUGAGUGUUGGACUGACACUCCGGAGAUCAGGGUUCAAAUCCUAGUUCCUCCA
rnacentral:tRNA from 1 species